rnacentral:rRNA from 1 species
CAGCCGCCACGGGAAUACGUAGGGUGCGAGCGUUAAUCGGAAUUAUUGGGCGUAAAGCGCGCGCAGGCGGUUUCUUAAGUCUGAUGUGAAAGCCCCCGGCUUAACUGGGGAGGGUCAUUGGAAACUGGGAGACUUAGAGUGCAGAAGAGGAGAGUGGAAUUCCAUGUGUAGCGGUGAAAUGCGUAGAUAUAUGGAGGAACACCAGUGGCGAAGGCGACUCUCUGGUCUGUAACUGACGCUGAGGCUCGAAAGCGUGGGUAGCAAACAGGAUUAGAUACCCCUGUAGUCCCUGUCUCUUAUU